rnacentral:rRNA from 1 species
AUUGAACGCUGGCGGCAUGCCUUACACAUGCAAGUCGAACGGUAACAGGUCUUCGGAUGCUGACGAGUGGCGAACGGGUGAGUAAUACAUCGGAACGUGCCCGAGAGUGGGGGAUAACGAGGCGAAAGCUUUGCUAAUACCGCAUACGAUCUCAGGAUGAAAGCAGGGGACCGCAAGGCCUUGCGCUCACGGAGCGGCCGAUGGCAGAUUAGGUAGUGGGUGGGAUAAAAGCUUACCAAGCCAACGAUCUGUAGCUGGUCUGAGAGAACGACCAGCCACACUGGGACUGAGACACGGCCCAGACUCCUACGGGAGGCAGCAGUGGGGAAUUUUGGACAAUGGGCGCAAGCCUGAUCCAGCCAUGCCGCGUGCAGGAUGAAGGCCUUCGGGUUGUAAACUGCUUUUGUACGGAACGAAAAGACUCUGGUUAAUACCUGGGGUCCAUGACGGUACCGUAAGAAUAAGCACCGGCUAACUACGUGCCAGCCGCCGCCGUAACAC